UUUAUCAUUAAACGCCAAAAUUGUUUUUAUUAAACAUAGCAGUUAAGUCUGGGAGCUUGACUAACCACAGAAUAGAUUCAACACACACUGAGAGAGAUGGUAAGAAAAACUCACUUAUGUGAGCCAAACAUCGCAUGUAGUUAAACCAACCAGCUAAACAUGAUAAGCUACAAAGAACUAUGGUUUCCGCUGCUCUCAAAACACUAUUAAGAUGACCAAGUUUUAAGCUUAUUUCAAGAUUAUUUAUAGGUGAUUCCCCAAUUGGGAAAGUCAUUUCUGGAUUUCUUCUCCCCUAAUAUAGAUCCAGAAAAAUUAACAAACUUUAUUCCAGUAAGAAAGUUUGGGAUGUACUGCUUCAGGCCCUGUCCUAAGGAAAUUAUCAGGCCUGGGGGGUGGGUGCUAUCAACUGCCUGCCACCAUGUUACCUUCUGGCAUCCAGAAGCUUCCCUGUGCCAGAUGCAGCCACCAAUGUGGGGAGGAGAGCACAAAGGGCAGAGAAUCCACAGAAACCACACCUAUAAGGAGCAAACACCAUCACACCCCACUGCUGUCAACGCAAACACAUUUACCUAGUUCAUCUUUUGAUCUCCCUGAUGCAAAAAAGGACCGGCUCAGUUCAUAGCCACCAAAGAAGAAGAAAUAGCCCGGUACUUCUCGAAGUAAAGUGCUUGAGAGUCCAUGGUAGAAGCCCAAGGGGCCAUCCUUCCUAAGGAUACUUUUGAUGACAGACCACACUGUACUGGGAGGAAACACAAAGAGCAUGGUUAUGGCAGGUGGGAAGGAAGAAAGGACAAGGGCAUUUGCAACCAGUUAACAGAUCUGGUCAAGCACUAGCAAGGAAGAAGCUGAUUUUCUGAAUGAAGAGCCAGGAACUGAGACUAAAAGGCAUCCUUCUGUGGGAAGGAAAUUUAUUUACAGGAAGGAAUUAUCUAAACUCAGCAAGCAUAAAAUGGCAUUUUAUUGCCCGGUCCUUUAUCGCCGUGAUUCCUAUUUCCUCAAUCUUUCUGGUGUGUUUUUGGGAAAUCUGUUCAGGUGCCUAUAGGAUUUGUUUUGUUUUAGUGCAGAGAAAUGAGUGAAGGAGUAAAUGUUGUUUGAAGGCAAGACAAAUUCUGAGAACAAGUUAUAGCUCCUGUUAUGCAGAAGCACCAAGAAUUUAUUUCUCAGAGCACCAGGGAUGCAGGAGAAUUUCUUCUAAGCAGAUCACAGCCCUGCUCCUGUAGCAGCCAGAACACAGAACACUUUUUGUCUGACUCCCCUUCAUACUGGGGGGCUACCAGGGCAGGUUUAUCCCUGCUAAGAACAGGCCAAGAAAUCACAUACUCAGUGCAACUCAGUGAAUCCCUCUCUCCUCACUUUGUUCUCAGCAAGAAGGGGACUUGGCUUGGAUAGAUAAAGGAUCAAGUUCCAAGCCGGCACUUCACGAGCUCCGUGGGGCAGAGCACCAGUGCAGCAAAGGCAGAGGCGAAGGAACCGGCAGCUGCAUUCUGCAGAUCACUGAAAGCACACAAGCAGACAGUUACCCCUCAGCUUCUUCAUUCCUUCGGCACCCACCACACGGAGGGCACUCUGGUGAUAAAGCAGGGCUAAGCAAGCAAGAAAGUGGAGGGGCAGGCAGGGCCAGAUCCCCAGAGGUUUCGCUCACGCAAGACAGAAGUCACUGUCUGUCCUGCGGCUGGAGGGGCUGCUUUGCUCAGAAGACACAGGUCUUCUCCAGAAUCUCACGUGGCUGCUUACUGUUUCCCUGUCUUCUCUCCCCAUUUUGUCCUUUGCUAAGGAACCUGAACUGAACUGAAGUCCAGGUCUUCUGUAAUAGAGUGUCUCUCCUUCAACAGGGAACAAAACUACAGUCGCCUGUGGUUUUUGCUUCUGUUCAGUCUCCAUCGUGGCACGCCACACUCUCCUGGUCUGUGCCCUGCUUGUUUCUUUACUGCCCUCCUGCCUGCCCUUUCUGUGCUGGAGGCUCAUCUCAUUCAUGCUCAGCCCUCCUUGCUGUCUACACUGUCUUCUUGGGCAAUCGUAUCCAGUCCCAAGCCUCGAGCUCUACUCAUCGUGGUGGAAUUCCUGCCUAGAAAAGGGCACACCUUCAGACCUCCAGGCACCUCCAGAGAACACUGCUGUGCACAAGGAACCGAAUUCAGUUGUGUGGGACCUGCAGCUGCAAUCAGGUUUCAAACUCCUACUGAAAUAACUAAGACUGCCCUUUGCAAUCUUGAAGCUUAUAUAGUAAUUUUCAGUGGUAUAAAAUGAAAUCAACGUUCAAAGCAGGGAUAGCUACACAUCCCAGUGGUUUCCGAAUUCUCUUUAGUCUCUAUAUAAUAAACACCCAAGGCAAGACCAAGAACGAGGCGAAGUCUGAUGUUGUGGGAAGAUCCGGACAGUGAAAGGCGGGUUCCCUUGCAUCUUUGCAAACAUUUCCGACCCUUCCUAAAACUCCUCCAAUUCCUCUGGCUCAGACAACCUCUUCCAAUACUCUGCUUUUUGCUAAUGAAAGAAAAGCUAAAACGUGGAUCAUAAGCAGCAUCUACAGUUUUAGUGCAGCAUGUCUGCUGACGACAGGUAGCACCGCCAGCUGCAUUUGAACAGCAUCCUACUGGAGAAAACUGAAACCGCAGGGCGGUCCGUUUUCAGUGGUGGAUGAUGAGCAGGUCUCCUCUGUGACGUGCGUAUGUGGUUUCCAAGUUUUACAUGAUGACAAUCAUAAAUAAAAGUUUUAUAUGAUGACUUCAUAAAUAAAAGGAAAGCAGUUGUUUUUUAAAAAAGAAAUGUUCUUCCACAUAAGGCAUCAGUAAAAUUGUGACCCUACAACAGUAGAUGUUUUUUAAUUUUUAUUUUUUGUAGAGAUGGGGAUCUUGCUAUGUUGCCCAGGCUGGUUUUGAACUCUUAGCCUCAAGCCAUUCUCCUGCCUUUGCCUCCCAAAGUGCUGGGAUUACAGGCAUGAGCCACCAUGCCUUCCCAGUUUUGUGGGGUUUUUUAAAAUAAAACAAAGCGUGUGUCCUUGACUCACCUCAGCUUUGCCUGCUUGUCCAAUCCAGCCACUUUCCGCACCACCUGCUGGCAGAAGCCAUAGCACAUGAAGAGGACUGAGUUCUCAGCGAUGUUGGCGAUUAGUGCUGGGCUGGUCCCCUUGUAGAAGCCACGGAAGCCCACCUGGGAGUAAGUCUUCAGGCAGCAGUCCGUGAGGCCCCGGUACAGGUCAGGGAACGUCUGCAUCUUCACUUUCAUCGUGUCAAAGGGCUGCCCGGUCAGUACACACGCUGUGCCCCCUGGAAUCAGGACAGAAGACUGCUCUAGUAUGAGGCUACAUUUCCAUUAUCUAUGGAAAGAAGGCACAGGCAGCCUACCCCAGAACUUACCCC